rfam:Echinostoma caproni strain Egypt genome assembly, scaffold: ECPE_scaffold0001521
ACUCUGCUGACAAGUCCCAAACAAGACGAAACAGCCGUCCAGUGU